rfam:Xenopus laevis strain J chromosome 1S, whole genome shotgun sequence.
AACAAGGUUUCAUUAGAAACCACCCUAUGCAGCAUAUAAUCAAUG